rnacentral:rRNA from 1 species
UUUAAAGUCUAAUCUGCCCGAUGAAUUUUUGAAUGGCUGCGGUAUUUUGACCGUACAAAGGUAGCAUAAUAAUUAGUUUCUUAAUUAGGAACUGGUAUGAAUGAUUGGACGAGAAAUAAUCUGUCUCAAUUUAAUUUUAUUAUAAUUUUAUUUUUAAGUAAAAAAGCUUAAAUGAUUUUCAAAGACGAGAAGACCCUAUAGAGUUUAAUAUAUUAAUUAUUAAAUUUUUUUGGUAUUUAUUUAUUUUUAUUAUUUAAUAUAUUUUGUUGGGGUGAUGGAAAAAUUUAUUAAACUUUUUUUAAUUUAAAACAUUUAUUUAUGAAUUUUUGAUCCAUUUUGUGAUUAUAAGAUUAAAUUACCUUAGGGAUAACAGCGUAAUUUUUUUAGAGAGUUCAAAUCGAAAAAGAAGAUUGCGACCUCGAUGUUGGAUUUAAA